GCCAUCUUAAUAUUCUCCUGAACUUUAACAGAUGUCUGGCUGCCUGUUUUAUUCCAAAGUCGUUUCUUGGACCUCGCUCAUCAAGAUUCUACUUUUUUGUCCGUGACUCCAGCAGGUACCUCACUUCAUUAAUUUGUAAAUUGAAGCAGUUUGGUCAGGUAACGGCCGGUGUGUCCAAUGGUAGAGAAGAACUGAGAGAAGAAAAGAGACGCUCUCCUCAGCUAGUCAGAGGACUGGACUUUAGUUGACUUCUUGCUGAUGAAAUUUUCCAUAGAGUUCGUUAUUUACAUUUGUUGAUAAUGUUAAGACGUUAGCCAAGGUAAUGUUACCAGAUAAACCUUAAAUUUAAACCGUGUACGUUAGAGCGCCCGCGUCUCUCUCGCUCUCUCUGUGUGUGUUAGCUAUGUCCGUUAGCUAGGUGUGUAUGUAUGUGUGUGCUCGCGUGCGCGUGUACGAGCUAAGUGUGUUAGCUGCGCCAGUCAGUGUGUGUGUGUGUGUGUGCGCGCGUGUACGAGCUAAGUGUGUUAGCUCCGUCAGUCAGUGUGUGUUUGUGUGUGUGUUAGCUCCGUUCGUUAGCUAGGUGUGUGAGCGUGUGUGUAUGUGUUAGCUCCGUCAGUCAGUGUGUGUGUGUGUUAGCUCCGUUAGUGUGUGUGUGUGUGUGUGUGUGUGUGUGUGUGUGUGUGUGCGUGCGCGCGUGUACGAGCUAGGUGUGUUAGCUCCGUCAGUCAGUGUGUUUGUGUGUGUUAGCUCCGUUAGUUAGUGUGUGUGUAUGUGUUAGCGCCGUCAGUGUGUGUGUGUGUUAGCUCUGUCAGUUAGUGUGCGAGCUCGGUGUGCUAGCUUUGUCCGUUAGCUAGGUCUGUCAGCUACGUCUAUUGGCUAGGUGUGCUAGCUUCGUCUGUUAGCUAGGUCUGUUAGCUACGUCUAUUGGCUGGGUGUGCUAGCUUCGUCUGUUAGCUAGGUCUGUCAGCUACGUCUAUUGGCUAGGUGUGCUAGCUUCGUCUGUUAACUACGUCUAUUGGCUGGGUGUGCUAGCUUCGUCCGUUAGCUAGGUCUGUUAGCUAUGUCUAUUGGCUGGGUGUGCUAGCUUUGUCCGUUCGCGAGGUCUGUUAACUACGUCUAUUGGCUGGGUGUGCUAGCUUCGUCCGUUAGCUAGGUCUGUUAGCUAUGUCUAUUGGCUGGGUGUGCUAGCUUUGUCCGUUCGCGAGGUCUGUUAACUACGUCUAUUGGCUGGGUGUGCUAGCUUCGUCCGUUAGCUACGUCUAUUGGCUGGGUGUGUUAGCUUCGUCCGUUAGCUAGUUCUGUUAGGUACGUCUAUUGGCUAGGUCUGUUAGCUCGGUCUGUUUGGUAAAGUUUAUCUCUCGUUUUUCUGCUGUUAGCAGUCUGCGCGAAUGGGCACAAUUUAUUACUGGACCGUGGACCAGUAAACAGUAAUUUUUUACUGGACCGAAUAUUUUAUGCACAAAUGUACCAAAAGUUGAUGUAUAAUUUAAUUUUUAUAAUUGUUAUACAAAUUUACUACUUUAUUAAUUAUGUUUGCAGGUAUGUAUAAAACCAUGGGCGAAGAGAAAUUACCGUUUUUAUAUAGAAUAAACCAUACAAAAUUAACUAAUGGAUAAAGAAAAGCACUCAUUUGAGAUCAAAACAUAAAUCAUGUACUCAACCAUGCUAGAAGUACUAUAAAUCACAGAGCAAUGUGGCUGGGUCAAGCAGAGCGACCUUGUAGAAGUGAAAUGAGGUGUGGUUUAUUUAUUUUCUGUUUAUAUCAUGCGUUUUUAUCGCGUGAUAUCGCUGUUCACACGAGAGCCUCUCUGAGGAGCAGCCCUCCCCAUCCGGACGAUGCGCCGCUGCGCUGCACUUGCUGUGUGCUUUGACUUUCGGAGCAAGACGGCGGCGCUUCGUUCCAUUGCGCGGCGCAGCGCGAUCGCAUUAUGUGGAACUUCGGGGUUACAGGAAAAAAAAUUACACCGGACAUGAGACCGGUAAUGUAAGUUUUACCGGACUUUUGGUACACAAAUCGGAUUUGACCGAUGGUCUGACGUCAUUGGCGCACACUGUGUUAGCUGCUGAGACGAAUCUGAUGACCGAAGCAGGCCAGACAAACAACACAUUGAAAGAUUUCUGUCAGGAUAAAUCCAGAGCAGAGAAGUGUGCCUAAAAGGUUCAAGCAGAAGUUACUGGUACUGGGGAGAUGGUCCUAUGAGAAAAUAAGUCCCUCAGUCCACAUGUGGAAGCAUUCAGCUGGGACAGAACAGAUAAUACCAGAUGUUGACUCUAGCCCAGGAAGAGGAUUCCAUCCCAGAAAGAAAUCUCCAAUUCAGGAUGAGGAAUGUACUUCAACAGCCCAGUCCAGGAUUAAUAAAAACUGCUCCUCAACUGUUUCCUGGAGAUCAAAUGACUACAUCUAACUACAGCUGUGUGGUUUCCUGCCUUCAACUCAUGCCCUGAUGCUGCUCAGCUGAAGACACAUUUACUAACUGUUCUGGACAGACUGAUCAGAGACACGCUGCUGCUGCAGUUGUUGUUCCAGCACUGAAAGAAGAACGCUGUCAGCUGAUCAGCAUGUUUUCACUGAUUAGGAUCAAACUCUGUCAGGUGUGAUCAGUGAACUGGAGCUCUGCAGAGUGAACCAAAGUUGUGAUGCAGUGAGACAUCCAGAGCUGUUCACCAUCUUUAUGGGCAUGAAGUUCAGCUAUCUCACCACAAACAGUCGCUGUGUGGCCUCACAGUCCACUUAUCUCUGAGCUCAGCUGCUGCUUAUCACCCUUCAACCAUCAAACACUCAUCCACACAACACACACAUGUGACAUUUAGGCUCACUGAGCUUCACUGAACAUCCAUCCAACUUCCUGUCCUCAGACCACGUUAGUGUUCCACUUCAUGGAGCUCACUUUAACUGCUUUUAGUUACACCGGCUGCUUUUAUUCAGACUAACACUUCUGAAUCACAACCAGAUCACGUUUUGUUCUUCAUCAUGAACUCAAACAUCAAAGCAGUAAAAGGUUCAGCACUUCUUUGAGAACGCAGCAGGAGAUGAUGGUAAAGUACAAGCAGCUCAACACUGCACAGUACUCCAGUAAAAGUACUCAGUUACUCCCUGAAGCUGACACCUGUGGAGACAUGUCAGCUUCAUGGUGUCCACUAACCAACUAAAAUAAUCCAUCAUGCAUGUUCUCAUAUGAGGAGAAUGAGAAGAAAACACAAAUUCAACAUGUUUGAAGAAGUUAAAACUUAUUUAAUCCCACCCCUAAAGUCAAUCACCCAUUUCAAUCAGUUCCAUGAAAAAUAUUCAAUGAAAAACAAAUUCACCGCCAAUAAUUUCACUGAGGCAAAAAUUUAAUGGUUUUUCUUUAUUUUCAUGACUAUCUACAUUCUAGUUUCUCACUGAAGGCAUCAAAACUAUCAAUGAACACAUGGAAUUAUGUAGGUAACAAAAAAAUGUGAAAUAAAUCAAAACAUGUUUUAUAUUUUCGAUUCUUCAAAACAGCCACCCUUUGCUUUGAUUACUGCUCUGCACAGUGAAAGCUAAACAGGAAGUGGUUCACUGAGGAUGUCAUCCAUUCAAUCUCCUUCACAAGCAGAUGAGGUUUUCCUUCUGUUGGCUUCACUCAGAAGAUCCUCACAGUGAACAUGAGACACCUGAGAUGAAGACAGACGUCACAGCAUCAACAGCAGAGGUUCGCUUUAAGGUGACCCUGGACAGAUACUAUAUUUCCAACACGGUCUCACGGGGAUUCGUGAAACUGUUACGUAAAUUUUUUGUUUCUUUUUCGUGCGCACCAACACGAUUUCGUCAUGUUUUUCGUGCCGCUCACCACGAAAUGUUUUUCGUGUUGCUCACAACGAAACCCGCUGUGGUAAUCACAGCUGAAAGUGGUUUAUACCAGCGGAUUCAUGACGAUCUAAGCUGUCCAUCGGCGUAUACUGCUUGUGUGAUCGCGUUUGCGGCCGCCGGCCGCCGGACAUUCUUGAAAUUCCUAUGCAAAUUGGUAAGUGUACCACCGAAAAAAAAAAAAAAAAAGUAAGUGUACCACCGGGUUA